rnacentral:misc_RNA from 1 species
AACGCACCUUGCGCUCCUUGGUAUUCCGAGGAGCAUGCCUGUUUGAGUGUCAUUAAAUUCUCAACCCCUCCAGCUUUUGCGAGUUGUGAUGGGGCUUGGAUAUGGGAGUUUGCGGGUCCUUUAUCAGUAAAGGUCGGCUCUCCUGAAAUACAUUAGCGGAACCGUUUGCAGUCCCGUCACUAGUGUGAUAAUUAUCUACACUGUGAUGAUUGCUCUCUGACUAGUUCAGCUGCUAAUCGUCCGGUAUGGACAACAUUUAAUGAACUUCUUGACCUCAAAUCAGGUAGGACUACCCGCUGAACUUAA